GAUGGACUCAUAAGAAAAAGGGUUUUGUUCAGCUUUGCCUUAUAUAGGAAGUUGAAUGGAAAAGGGCUAACCAGAGGAAGAUAAUUAAGUGUCUGACUAUAUGUUGAAGGGGAGCCUUGGCGCACCGGUUAAGGUGUUGUCGUUGUGACCUAGAGGUCACGGGUUCGAGUCCUGGAUGUAAGGUUAAGGUGUUGUCGUUGUGACCCUUUCCCGAACCCUCGUUCAAUAGGAACGCUUUGUGCACGGGGUUGCCCUAGUGUCUGACUAUAUGUUGUGGCACAAGGUUUACAGAUGUGAUUAUCCGACAUAAGUACAUGUGAAAUGCUUAACCUUUUAUGUUCUAAGAAGAUUAUUGCCUUUUAUA